rnacentral:misc_RNA from 1 species
GAACUGCGAUAAGUAAUGUGAAUUGCAGAAUUCAGUGAAUCAUCGAGUCUUUGAACGCACAUUGCGCCCCCUGGCAUUCCGGGGGGCAUGCCUGUUCGAGCGUCAUUGCUGCCCUUCAAGCCCGGCUUGUGUGUUGGGUCGUCGUCCCCUCCGGGGGACGGGCCCGAAAGGCAGCGGCGGCACCGCGUCCGGUCCUCGAGCGUAUGGGGCUUUGUCACCCGCUCGAUAAGGACCGGCCGGGCGCCAGCCGGCGUCUCCAACCUUUUUUUCUCAGGUUGACCUCGGAUCAGGUAGGGAUACCCGCUGAACUUAAGC